CAGAAUGCCGUGGUGUCAUGUUUGCUGAGGAGGUGAUACCCAGGUCCUUUCUGAACGGUUCCUGACUGGAGCAGCAAGAAAUGAGGCAGCUGGAUUUCACAGAGUUUUGGUAACCUUGGAGAAACAAGUUACAGCAACCAUCAGCCCAGGCGACAAAUUUGCAAGCAGGCCAGGGUGUAAGCGGGAGGAUCUGAUCUGAGGUAUUUCUACUGGAAGAAAAUUCUGAAAUUUCAAAAUGGCAGAGUCUUCCAGAAGUGGAAAUACAUUGGUUGAGAGGAAGCGUAAGAUCCCAAACUGCAGAGGUAAAAUGAGAAUCGAUGCCACCUUAGAACUUGCAAAAGAAGUUGAAACAAACAGUAGGGUUUUUUAGCCAUGAAAACUAGAUAAGAGCGAGGAAAGUCACCGUGUCAUUGGGUAGAGGGAGGAUGAGUUUAAGGAUAGCAUAAAUGCUUUCAAAAAAUUAGAUGAUUUUGUGCCUCAGUGUUCAAUUUGGACAAUGACUCUGAACUUGGAUGGGAGAAAAUUGGCUUUAUGGGAGUGAAUUUGGAAGGAUGGAAAUGAUGCCUUUUGAGGUAGAAGUAAAAAUCAAAAUCAAGGAGUGCUGUUUCAGGGGAUCUGCGUCACUGUAGUCUGAAGGAAUUGGCAUUUGAAACUGCAUUUCUACUUGAAGGAUAUUUAGGAAUAUGUUAAAGUGGGAGUGGUAUGCGAAAUUUCAGACAUGAUUCCUAUAUUUAAGAUAGGAGAAAACUGUCAUCUAGUUAAGCAUAGGCAUAUUAGCGUGACAUCAGUAGCAUGCAAGGCAUUGCAGUGAUUUUGGAAAGAAGAGCAACAGAAAACACAGCAAAUGGAAGA